CAGAUUCUGUUUGGACUGUUUGUUGUCCUGGGAUUAAUUUGUGGCCUGCCUGGAUUAAGAGAGGUCUGCUGGCAGGUGUUAUGAGUUGGAGCCAUUUUCAACCCCUUUUUGCCUUUGUACAGUAUGGUGUUUGCCCUUCCCACAUCACAGCCAUUCCUGAUAUUUAGGGCUAUUUUUGUUUAAAGCAGAUAUUUUUGAUACAGUUUUUUUCUGUGCCAAACUGAAAAGUGGCCUGUGUGAAAGCAACAAAAUGAAACCCAUCUGCUGAACAGGUGAAUGUCGUGGAAGUGUUUUCCUUUACCAAAGAUAACUGCAU